ensembl:lncRNA
AUUCUUGACUGUGAGAGCAGUAAGGCACUGGAACAGGCUGCCCAGAGAAGCCAUGACUGCCCCAUCCCUGGAAGCAUUUGAGGUCAGACUGGAUACAGCUUUGAGCAGCCUGAUAUAGUGCAAGGUGCCCCCUGCCCAUGGCAGGCUGUUGGAACUAGAUGGUCUAAUCCAUUCUAUGAUUCUAAACUAUUUCUCUCUCUUUUUCUUUUUCCAAUGGAGUAGUACUGAAUCUCAUGUAGAUAAAAUCCCAGAAGAUCCUGCUGAAAGAAAGAUGAGUGAAAGACAGAUGAUCUUGAUGCAGAUACAUCUCAAAGUUGGAAUGUACGGUGAUCAACCCUGGGCCUGCCUUUGUGCCUGGAUAUUUACAGUCUAUCUCUGUCCAGAGAAUAUAAUAAUGAAAUCUUGCCAUGAGAGGGGCCACAAGCUGUGAAGGUACCUUGCAUGGAGGCAGCUUCCCUGAGGAGCACUCAUGAGAAUGCCUGCCCUGGGCACGGCAGGACUGCAAGAUCUGAGACAAAGGCUUCAACACCAGUGCUAACUGGGGAAAUACUCUUCCAAACAGCUGCUCAAUCCAGAUUUCAGCAUCUGUUCCAGCUAUUGACAUUUUUAUCCUAACUAUAGCUUUAAUUAACUGUGUCAUUCAUAGUAGUAGAUCUGACCUGUUUAACAAACAUGCUGCUUUUUGUUUCAGUGGGAAUGCUAUAAGAGACAGGUAAAAUAAUUUUGUUACAUGGGAGGUUAUGGCUCUCAAUUUGUUAAAUUGUCAGCUGCUGUGGGAGCCUGUGGGAUGGAAGGUAUCAUAUAAAUACAAAAAAGUGUUAUUCUUCACCCUGAAUGACUCUAUCCAACCCUCCAGCCCCCUUCCCUUCCCCCCCCCCCCCCCUUUUUUUUUUCUUAAUAUACUUCUAUAUAUUUCUUCUCUGCAUUUUGUUCUGUUUGGAUGGUUUCUUCAAGUCCCCAGGUGGAACUACAAUCGUAAGUUCUUCACACUCGGGUAUCAACAGCUUCACAUUUUUCUGACCUUUGUUAGGCAGUUAUUUACCUGACCUGCUUUGCUUGUUAUUCAAUCUUUCUGUCUUCUGGAAUUAAUUCCAAGGCAAUUUCAACUUCAAAUGCUUUUCACUCUAGCUGAGUUUAAACAUGCAAAUUUGGAUCACAGUGCUUAGUGAGUCCAUUUUGUCUUCUUGUACUCAAUAGAUUUACUGUUUUUUCCAUGUCCAAGGAUUAAUUACAAACAGCUGAAAUAGAAAUUCUUGAAGAAAGACUAAUCCUGAUGUGGAUGUGUAGGAGAGAGAUAUGAGGCAGCAGUCCAGUAAACCACCAGUUUGAGGCUUAGUUGCACUUAAAUGCCAUCAUUCAUGAAGCCAACUCAAACUAUCAAUCAGAAUCCUC